UUCUAUGCGUGCUGGUUUUCCAGUUUGCAAGAUUCAAUUUUUCACUGUUCCACAUUGAUGUUCUAAGUGUUUAGGAAUGAUUUUCCUUAUGAUUUUACUGAAAAUUAAAAUUCCAGAUUAUUAUUAUAUUUGUAUGAAAUAUUCUUUUCAAAUAUUUGUUGACUAUACAAUGGCUGCUGGUACCAUUCUGGCUGUACUUUGAUGACAUUGGGAGUUUACUAAAAUAUGCCGUACCAAAAAGCCAGCGCAGCAUUGCUAUAGAAGUUUCAUAUUAAUUUGAAUAUUUUAUUAAGGACAGACUUUAAAGAACACCGCCAUACAUCCUUUUAAAUUUGUAUUGUUGAAAGAUGCACAAAUGAAAUGGAAACCGCAGGAGAUAGGGAUUCUUUAAAUGUUUUCUUGCAGUUUUACCUUGUAUUAAUGAAAUAGCACUGACAAGUGGCGCCCGCUUCCUUCUCUUGUUCGGCUGCGACUCUGUCUUUAGGAGGAUCAUGUGCGUUUUCAACUUUUACUGUUCCGCUUGAGGACCUGCUGCAGCAAUAUAGUGGUUGCCUUUGGAGGCUAUAUAGGAUGAAAGAGAGGCUGUAGUAACUUGGCCAAACAUUGACCGUUUCCAGCUUUGGCCAUUUGCUGUAACACCUGGGAACUGAGAUCGGUUUGGAAUCAUUGUCAGCUGUUCCAUCUUCGUGACACUUGCUACAGAUUCUAGAUACCAGAAGGAAAGAAGAUACAGACCAGGGUGAAGCAGCAAGACAAAGGCAACAUCAAGUCUACUCCAACCGUUCCAGUCAUUCAGGCAAUGACUGGUUCCAUUCUCAACAUGCUCUCUUCAUUUUUUUUUUUGUACUUAUGUAUACAUGUCUGUGUAUUUCCUUUCUGCACCUAAUGCAUGUAGCUAGUCUCACGACUCUUUGUGUGGGACGCAUGUUUGAAUAUUAAUAAAAAUACUUAUCCUUUUGAUGAGA